rnacentral:rRNA from 1 species
AGCAGUCGCCGCGGGAAUACGGAGGGAGCUAGCGUUAUUCGGAAUUACUGGGCGUAAAGCGCACGUAGGCGGCUUUGUAAGUAAGAGGUGAAAGCCCAGAGCUCAACUCUGGAAUUGCCUUUUAGACUGCAUCGCUUGAAUCAUGGAGAGGUCAGUGGAAUUCCGAGUGUAGAGGUGAAAUUCGUAGAUAUUCGGAAGAACACCAGUGGCGAAGGCGGCUGACUGGACAUGUAUUGACGCUGAGGUGCGAAAGCGUGGGGAGCAAACAGGAUUAGAUACCCCCGUAGUCCCUGUCUCUUAUAC